AUUGAACGCUGGCGGCAUGCCUUACUCAUGCAAGUCGAACGGUAACGGGCCUUCGGGUGCCGACGAGUGGCGAACGGGUGAGUAAUGCAUCGGAACGUACCUUUCAGUGGGGGAUAACGUAGCGAAAGUUACGCUAAUACCGCAUAUUCUGUGAGCAGGAAAGCAGGGGAUCGCAAGACCUUGCGCUGAUUGAGCGGCCGAUGUCAGAUUAGCUAGUUGGUGAGGUAAAGGCUCACCAAGGCGACGAUAUGUAGCGGGUCUGAGAGGAUGAUCCGCCACAAUGGAACUGAGACACGGUCCAGACUCCUACGGGAGGCAGCAGUGGGGAAUUUUGGACAAUGGGGGCAACCCUGAUCCAGCCAUGCCGCGUGAGUGAAGAAGGCCUUCGGGUUGUAAAGCUCUUUCGGCCGGGAAGAAAUCGCACGGGCUAAUACCCUGUGUGGAUGACGGUACCGGAAUAAGAAGCACCGGCUAACUACGUGCCAGCCGCCGCAGUAAGAC
rnacentral:rRNA from 1 species